GAACAAGAGGAUCAUUCCGCAAAAUGAUAGCACAAUACUAUGAUUCGAUUAGUGUUAUUUUUUCCGUUCAGAUGGUUUGUGCUCAUAUUGUAUUUUAAAUGUUCAAAUAAUAGCAAGUAUUAAUAUUAUUCUGAUUACCUAUAUCAAAAAGAAGACUAUCAAAAAAUCCCAAGUAAGUAUUUAGGUGCUUAAAAUAUUAUAAAAAAAACAUAUUAAUAUUAAACUUAAUAUUUGUGUCAAUUCUGUAAAUUUAAAUAUUUCAUGAUAAAUUUGUCUUUUAAUUAUGUUUUUUAUUUGUAUAAGUUAUAUAAGUACAGGUGUAUUAGGUGUAUAAGUAAUACUUGAUAUACACGACUGAAGU